rnacentral:rRNA from 1 species
GAUGAACGCUGGCGGCGUGCCUAAUACAUGCAAGUCGAGCGAAAACACGAUGAGCUUGCUCCCCUGACGUUAGCGACGGACGGGCGAGUAACACGUGGAUAACCUACCUAUAUGACUGGGAUAACUACGGGAAACCGGAGAUAAUACCGGAUCACAUGUUGAACCGCAUGGUUCAACAGUGCAUGACGGUUUUGCUGUCACUUAUAGAUGGAUCCGCGCCGCAUUAGCUAGUUGGUAAGGUAACGGCCUACCAAGGCAACGAUGCGUAGCUGACCUGAGAGGGUGAUCGGCCACACUGGAACUGAGACACGGUCCAGACUCCUACGGGAGGCAGCAGUAGGGAAUAUUGGACAAUGGGCGAAAGCCUGACCCAGCAACGCCGCGUGAGUGAAGAAGGUCUUCGGAUCGUAAAACCCUUUUAUUGGGAAAGAAAAGAUGUAUGAGUAACUAUGCACGUCCUGACGGUACCUAAACAGUAAGCCACGGCUAACUACGUG